UACGGAGGGUGCAAGCGUUAUCCGGAUUCACUGGGUUUAAAGAGUGCGUAGGCGGGCAUUUAAGUCAGUGGUGAAAUACCUGAGCUUAACUUGGGAACUGCCAUUGAUACUAUUUGUCUUGAAUGUCGUGGAGGUUAGCGGAAUAUGUCAUGUAGCGGUGAAAUGCUUAGAUAUGACAUAGAACACCUAUUGCGAAGGCAGCUAACUACGCGAAUAUUGACGCUGAGGCACGAAAGCGUGGGGAUCAAACAGG
rnacentral:rRNA from 1 species